rnacentral:rRNA from 1 species
AGGGUUCGAUCAUGGCUCAGAACGAACGCUGGCGGCAUGCCUAACACAUGCAAGUCGAACGCUAUCUUGUAUAGAGUGGCGCACGGGUGAGUAACGCGUGGGAACCUGCCUUUCUCUGCGGGACAACGGUUGGAAACGACCGCUAAUACCGCAUACGCCCUACGGGGGAAAGGUCAGCCGGAGAAAGAGGGGCCCGCGUUAGAUUAGUUAGUUGGUGGGGUAAUGGCCUACCAAGGCGACGAUCUAUAGCUGGUCUGAGAGGAUGAUCAGCCACACUGGGACUGAGACACGGCCCAGACUCCUACGGGAGGCAGCAGUGGGGAAUAUUGGACAAUGGGGGCAACCCUGAUCCAGCAAUGCCGCGUGUGUGAUGAAGGCCCUAGGGUUGUAAAGCACUUUCACUGGUGAAGAUGAUGACGGUAACCAGAGAAGAAGCCCCGGCUAACUUCGUGCCAGCAGCCGCGGUAAUUC